ACGAACGCUGGCGGCGUGCUUCACCCAUGCAAGUCGAACGGAAAGGCCCUGCUUUUGUGGGGUGCUCGAGUGGCGAACGGGUGAGUAACACGUGAGUAACCUGCCCUUGACUUUGGGAUAACUUCAGGAAACUGGGGCUAAUACCGGAAAGGAGCUCCUGCUGCAUGGUGGGGGUUGGAAAGUUUCGGCGGUUGGGGAUGGACUCGCGGCUUAUCAGCUUGUUGGUGGGGUAGUGGCUUACCAAGGCUUUGACGGGUAGCCGGCCUGAGAGGGUGACCGGCCACAUUGGGACUGAGAUACGGCCCAGACUCCUACGGGAGGCAGCAGUGGGGAAUAUUGCACAAUGGGCGGAAGCCUGAUGCAGCAACGCCGCGUGCGGGAUGACGGCCUUCGGGUUGUAAACCGCUUUCGCCUGUGACGAAGCGUGAGUGACGGUAAUGGGUAAAGAAGCACCGGCUAACUACGUG
rnacentral:rRNA from 1 species